AACGAACGCUGGCGGCAGGCCUAACACAUGCAAGUCGAGCGAAGCCUUCGGGCUUAGCGGCGGACGGGUGAGUAACGCGUGGGAACGUGCCCUUUGGUACGGAAUAGCUCCGGGAAACUGGGAGUAAUACCGUAUGUGGUCGAGAGACGAAAGAUUUAUCGCCAAAGGAUCGGCCCGCGUUGGAUUAGGUAGUUGGUGGGGUAAUGGCCUACCAAGCCGACGAUCCAUAGCUGGUUUGAGAGGAUGAUCAGCCACACUGGGACUGAGACACGGCCCAGACUCCUACGGAGGCAGCAGUGGGGAAUCUUAGACAAUGGGGGAAACCCUGAUCUAGCCAUGCCGCGUGAUCGAUGAAGGCCUUAGGGUUGUAAAGAUCUUUCAGUGGGGAAGAUAAUGACUGUACCCACAGAAGAAGCCCCGGCUAACUCCGUGCCAGCAGCCGCGGUAAAAC
rnacentral:rRNA from 1 species